rnacentral:misc_RNA from 1 species
CCGGAAGGUGCGGCUGGAUCACCUCCUUUCUAAGGAGCACCUGGCGAUCCGAGAGGGUCGUCCAGAGCCGUCUGGUGGCUAUUUGCAGGCCACCUCGGAGCUCAGGGUGGAACACUAACUAGUUCGCGGCUGAAGUCAUCGGUCUGUCAGUACGGCCAUACAUUGGUGUGGAAAAUCAGAUCCGAGGGCCGCAAUCGCGUAGGCACGCUGUUGGGUCCUGAGGGAGCGGAACGAACCCUCAGGCGCAUUCGCACGCCGAAUGCGCACAGUCCGACACAUCGACCCACCGAACGAUCCGGACGGUCGUGCUGAGCACGCCGGCCGGGCACGCGGUGACCCGUCGUUGCGUCGCCCGUACCUUGAGAACUGCAUAGUGGACGUGAGCAUCUUUGUGGCCAAGUUAAUAAGGGCGCAC